CGCGCUUUUUACCUAUUUUUAUGGUAUUUUUAUGCAUUUUAUGCUUAUUUUUAGCAACCUUUACAAGUUGAUGCAAAGCAAAUAGAUUCUCCGCAUAAGAAAAGGUGUUCAUGAGUAACACAAACAGCCUUGAGUUGGCAAAAUAGUGCACUUAGGUGGCACAAAUACUUCUCUAGUAAGAAUAAGUUAAAAGCUUUUGGGAAAAGUGUGGGAAAUUUCUUGUCAAGUUUCGGGACGAAACUUCUUUUAAGAGGGGUAGAUUGUAAUCCCCCAUAAUUUUAUACAUUUUAUUAAUAUAUUUUAACGUAUAGUUAAUUAUAUUUAAAUAGAAUUUAUAAAUUUUAGAAAUAAAUAUAUAAUUAACGUAUAUUUAUUUUAUUUGAUUACAUUCUAAACAUUUUAACGAUUUAUGAAAUCAAAAAUAAUUUUAGAAUUUUAUGUUGAAAAGAAUUUGAAUUACGAAAAUACGUUUUUACUUAGAAAACAAUCAUAAUCGGUUUCGAAUUCAAACAUAAACUCAAUUAUAAUCCUAGCCCAAAUAACAAAGCCCAAAAUAAAUAACCCCAAAUAAACCCAUAACCCUUUCUCCUAUUCAACUUCACGUGAAACAAAAAUAAAAAGAGAAACAAAAGAAAACUCUCAAACCCUUGCUUCACCAUUCACGUGAAAACGCACAAGACUCUCUGCUUCAGCCACCGCCGCUCCUCCUUGCUGCUAUCCCUCACGCCGCCGUUCCUCUCUCCCGCCUUCACUUUCGUUGCUGCAGCCUCCCUCGCCGUCGGACCACCAUCACGCCACUGUUUCGUUCGCAGCAACCACCACCGCGCCACCAGCCGCGCCCAUAACGAUUGUUCGCCGCCGCACCACCAACAACCAUCGCGCGGACGCUGACACCCUCCGCCGUACUCCUCCGACCAGCGUCGCCGCCCACUGUUGCCGCGCCGCCCUGCCUGCCGGCCAGCAGCUUCCCUCUCCUCUCUUUUUUG